rnacentral:tRNA from 1 species
UGGGAUGUAGCUCAAUUGGUAGAGUGCUUGCCUCGCAUGCAGAGGGCCCUGGGUUCAAUUCAAUCCCCAGCACCACAA